rnacentral:rRNA from 1 species
UACGUAGGAGACGAGCGUUGUCCGGAAUUACUGGGCGUAAAGCGCGUGUAGGCGGAUGAGCAAGUCUGCUGUGAAAGCUCUUGGCUUAACCGGGAGUGGUCGGUGGAAACUGCUCGUCUGGAGGACGGUAGAGGUAGGUAGAAUUCCCGGUGUAGUGGUGAAAUGCGUAGAGAUCGGGAGGAAUACCUGUGGCGAAGGCGGCCUACUGGGCCGGACCUGACGCUGAGACGCGAAGGCGUGGGGAGCGAACGGG